rnacentral:tRNA from 1 species
GUCCCUGUAGCACAAUGGAUAGAGCGUUGGACUUCUAAUCCAAAGGUCGUGGGUCCGAAUCCCACCUGGGAUG